AGUGAACGCUGGCGGUAGGCCUAACACAUGCAAGUCGAACGGCAGCACAGGAGAGCUUGCUCUCUGGGUGGCGAGUGGCGGACGGGUGAGGAAUACAUCGGAAUCUACUCUGUCGUGGGGGAUAACGUAGGGAAACUUACGCUAAUACCGCAUACGACCUACGGGUGAAAGCAGGGGACCUUCGGGCCUUGCGCGAUUGAAUGAGCCGAGGUCGGAUUAGCUAGUUGGCGGGGUAAAGGCCCACCAAGGCGACGAUCCGUAGCUGGUCUGAGGGGUUGAUCGACCACACUGGAACUAAGACACGGUCCAGACUCCUACGGGAGGAAGCAAUGGGGAAUAUUGGACAAUGGGCGCAAGCCUGAUCCAGCCAUACCGCGUGGGUAAAGAAGGCCUUCGUGUUGUAAAGCCCUUUUGUUGGGAAAGAAAUCCAGCUGGCUAAUACCCGGUUGGGAUGACGGUACCCAAAGAAUAAGCACCGGCUAACUUCGUGCCAGCCGCCGCCGUAA
rnacentral:rRNA from 1 species